rnacentral:rRNA from 1 species
UACGAAGGGGGCUAGCGUUGCUCGGAAUCACUGGGCGUAAAGCGCACGUAGGCGGAUUGCUAAGUCAGGGGUGAAAUCUGGAGCUCAACUCCAGAACUGCCUUUGAUACUGGCGAUCUCGAGUCCGGGAGAGGUGAGUGGAACUGCGAGUGUAGAGGUGAAAUUCGUAGAUAUUCGCAAGAACACCAGUGGCGAAGGCGGCUCACUGGCCCGGUACUGACGCUGAGGUGCGAAAGCGGUGGGGAGCAAACAGG